rnacentral:rRNA from 1 species
AGUGAACGCUGGCGGUAGGCCUAACACAUGCAAGUCGAACGGCAGCACAGUAAGAGCUUGCUCUUACGGGUGGCGAGUGGCGGACGGGUGAGGAAUACAUCGGAAUCUACUUUUUCGUUGGGGAUAACGUAGGGAAACUUACGCUAAUACCGCAUACGACCUACGGGUGAAAGCAGGGGAUCUUCGUACCUUGCGCGAUUGAAUGAGCCGAUGUCGGAUUAGCUAGUUGGCGGGGUAAAGGCCCACCAAGGCGACGAUCCGUAGCUGGUCUGAGAGGAUGAUCAGCCACACUGGAACUGAGACACGGUCCAGACUCCUACGGGAGGCAGCAGUGGGGAAUAUUGGACAAUGGGCGCAAGCCUGAUCCAGCCAUACUGCGUGGGUGAAGAAGGCCUUCGGGUUGUAAAGCCCUUUUGUUGGGAAAGAAAAGCAGCAGGUUAAUACCCCGCUGUUCUGACGGUACCCAAAGAAUAAGCACCGGCUAACUUCGUG